CGGGCUGUGGCUCAGCUUGGUAGAGCGCUUGAAUGGGGUUCAAGAGGUCCCGGGUUCAAAUCCCGGCAGCCCGA
rnacentral:tRNA from 1 species